GACGAACGCUGGCGGCGUGCUUAACACAUGCAAGUCGAACGGAAAGGCCCUGCUUUUGUGGGGUGCUCGAGUGGCGAACGGGUGAGUAACACGUGAGUAACCUGCCCUUGACUUUGGGAUAACUUCAGGAAACUGGGGCUAAUACCGGAUAGGAGCUCCUGCUGCAUGGUGGGGGUUGGAAAGUUUCGGCGGUUGGGGAUGGACUCGCGGCUUAUCAGCUUGUUGGUGGGGUAGUGGCUUACCAAGGCUUUGACGGGUAGCCGGCCUGAGAGGGUGACCGGCCACAUUGGGACUGAGAUACGGCCCAGACUCCUACGGGAGGCAGCAGUGGGGAAUAUUGCACAAUGGGCGGAAGCCUGAUGCAGCAACGCCGCGUGCGGGAUGACGGCCUUCGGGUUGUAAACCGCUUUCGCCUGUGACGAAGCGUGAGUGACGGUAAUGGGUAAAGAAGCACCGGCUAACUACGUGCCAGCAGCCGCGGUGAUACGUAGGGUGCGAGCGUUGUCCGGAUUUAUUGGGCGUAAAGGGCUCGUAGGUGGUUGAUCGCGUCGGAAGUGUAAUCUUGGGGCUUAACCCUGAGCGUGCUUUCGAUACGGGUUGACUUGAGGAAGGUAGGGGAGAAUGGAAUUCCUGGUGGAGCGGUGGAAUGCGCAGAUAUCAGGAGGAACACCAGUGGCGAAGGCGGUUCUCUGGGCCUUUCCUGACGCUGAGGAGCGAAAGCGUGGGGAGCGAACAGGCUUAGUUACCCUGGUAGUCCACGCUGUAAACGGUGGGUACUAGGUGUGGGGUCCAUUCCACGGGUUCCGUGCCGUAGCUAACGCUUUAAGUACCCCGCCUGGGGAGUACGGCCGCAAGGCUAAAACUCAAAGGAAUUGACGGGGCCCCGCACAAGCGGCGGAGCAUGCGGAUUAAUUCGAUGCAACGCGUAGAACCUUACCUGGGUUUGACAUGGAUCGGGAGUGCUCAGAGAUGGGUGUGCCUCUUUUGGGGUCGGUUCACAGGUGGUGCAUGGCUGUCGUCAGCUCGUGUCGUGAGAUGUUGGGUUAAGUCCCGCAACGAGCGCAACCCUUGUUCACUGUUGCCAGCACGUUAUGGUGGGGACUCAGUGGAGACCGCCGGGGUCAACUCGGAGGAAGGUGGGGAUGACGUCAAGUCAUCAUGCCCCUUAUGUCCAGGGCUUCACGCAUGCUACAAUGGCUGGUACAGAGAGUGGCGAGCCUGUGAGGGUGAGCGAAUCUCGGAAAGCCGGUCUCAGUUCGGAUUGGGGUCUGCAACUCGACCUCAUGAAGUCGGAGUCGCUAGUAAUCGCAGAUCAGCAACGCUGCGGUGAAUACGUUCCCGGGGCU
rnacentral:rRNA from 1 species